CUCUUUUUUGGUUACAUAUGAACUUAAAGUAGUUUUUUCCAAUUCUGUGAAGAAAGUCAUUGGUAGCGACAAUAAUAUCUUUUCUUUAGAUUAUCUGGAUUAUGAAAGCAAGCACUUUUUUCAUUAAAACAAUUAUGUACUAGGAAAAACUGUCAUAAUGGUAUUAAUGUUGGCAAUAUUGAUUAUGAAAUUCAGGGAUAAAUUGCUGCCUAUGGUCUGUGUCUUCAGUAUUGUAAGCCGCAGCCAUCAUGUAAUUUCAGAUUAAUACCAAUUUUGUUCCCUGAUAGAUGGAGCUUAAACAGUAUAUCCUGCUUUAAAUUUCUACCUCUAGCAGAUCUGUAUUGGAGGGAGUUUUCCUUUGUAUUUUUUAAUGUAUGUUAUUCUGUUUCCAGUAGCUUGGAAAGUAGAGAUGACUAAUGUUUUAGCCUUUUCUUGGAGAAAAGGAAGAACUCUUGUUGAAUAUUUUCACAGAUGAUUGUGAUUGCUUUAAAUAACCUCUGUGGCAAUUUAAAUUAGACGGAUUUAAUCUCAGUAACAUGCUGGUCGCAUAAAUGUCAUGUUUUAACAGGAAAACUUACUUGUAAAUCUUUAGACCUUUGUUGUCACUUAGGCUGGGGACUCACUACCCUAUUUGGCAUCUUACUAGUUGGGGGGACCUUUUCUGUGUACAGUGAUGGGACUUUUGUGCCCUUUACUCUCAUUAUGCAAUAGAGAGUUUGAUGCAGUUAAUUUGACAUGUCAAAACUGGGAAGUCUGUAACCUGUUUUUGUGUUUGUUUUUAUUUUUUUAAGAUUUCUCUUUUUCAUGUCCCUCAUUACUUAGCAGAUGUUCAUUUGGUGGGAAUUCUUAUUUACAUGAAUGCUUGAAUUUAGUGGCAAGGAAGAAAAGACUCAAAUUAUUGUUUUUAAAGAAAAAAACUUGCAAACUACGUAUUUUUAAGAAAUCAAUUGAACAGAAAGGAAUGCAUGAUGUUUUCUGAAUGGCUUAGAUGUGCUUUUUAUUCACUGACUAACAUUCACUUUUUUACAACUUGUAUCAAAAGAAAUGAUCUUUGUUUUUCUCACAGGCAAAAACACGUUGACACUGGUGGGUUGGCUUUAUUAAUUAAUCUUUUUCUAUCAGGUUUUCUUUAAUAAUGUUACAUUUCUAAAUUGUAGCACAUGUUUUAGUUAAUUCUGAAAUCGGUUACUUCAUUUGUUAAUUUAUCCCUCAUAUCAUGAAUAUUGUUUUUUAAAUGUUCUAUACAAAUUUGCCUCACUUUUUUUCUUACAGCUUUUGCAGUUAAUACAUUCUAAACUUGAAAAUGUGGUUAUCAGUCAGUAAUAGAAGUAUCCCUGGAGGAUUUCUUUAAUUUUGUAUUAAUUUUAGUCCUAGCUACUAAAGUAUGUAAGCCUUAAAGUUUAAAAUGUUUUUCUUAAAUUAGCUGUAUACACAAACAUUUUCAUAUACUUUGUGAAAUGGGAGGAGAUAGUCCAUUGUUCUUGUGGGUUUUUUUCUUUAAUUUCCGUAUUCUGAAGCAGUGCAGAUACAGGGUACGCUAAUCAGUGAGCAAGGUGGGGAAUGUGUACAAUAUAAGGAGAAGCUGUAUGAAUCUCAAUAUAAAAUUAUGAAGUUUGUUAACUGUAAAAUAUACUGUAUUUAUAUGUAACUGUCAUUCUAAAAGUUGCCAUAAAAGCUGAAUUGGAAGCUUCAUGUCUGCAUGAAAUUUCCUAUAUUUUUAAUGUGUAUGAUGAAAUUAAUUUUUCUUGAAUAUUAAAAUCUGCCAAUCGCUACAAAAAGAAUACUGAAAAUCUCAUUUCUAGUUUUAAUAUAUUUUUGCAGGAUAUUUACAUGGAUUUAAUAUUGAAAGCAUUUAUGUCUUGUCAAUAUCGCAUAAGAGACAGUUACUUAGAUGCAAUAAAAACUUUAUGUACGUGUACAUAAAAACAUAUACUUUCCUGCAUCUUUGUUAGUGAAUAAGAUUUUUAGAAGGGAUUUUAAUUAAGGUUUAAAUAAGAGCUGGGGACAUGUGGAAUGAGAAAUAGAAGGCUCAUCAAAGUAUAUGUGCGUAUGUAUUCUUAUAUUUGUGUGUGUCUACAGUAAUGCUAUCUGGAAACUAGUGCAAUGAAAAACAAAACACAGCAGGAGUGAACUGAGGCAAAUGUGGCUCAGAAAGGUCUCUUUUGACCUUUAAACCUGACAUUUCUUUGUGGAUAUCACACUGACUCAUCCAAUGUCACACGUUGAACCCAGCGAUGUCUUUUCUUCCUAUUGAAAACUAGCCUUCUCAUCCUGUUUUCUUUAAUCUAUCACACAAGCUGAAUUCUAUCCACCCUCACUGCCAUAGCGCUUACAGAUAUCACUGAUAUCAUCUCUCCUUUCUGUUCACAUUUUUACAGUCUCAUUAUUUAUGUUGCUAAGCAUUUUCUUACAACUGUUCGAAGCCUACAGGUUAAGAUGUGGGUGGAGAUAUACACUAAAGACUUACUUAUUAGAUCUAUAAUGCCAGGGAUGAGUUCAAUAUAACAAACCAGUGGAAUGAUUCUGCUUCUCUUCUGACUCACUCCUUAAAAUGUGUAUUGAACAAAGGUGAAGUAGAAAAGUUGUAUUAGCAUUGUUUUAUUUUGCAUGACUUAAAAUGUGCUUUUCUAAUUGAUAAUUUAUCUAGUGCUGCCUCAGACUUGAUAAUUGGGUUCAUCAACAGAGCCUUGAAAAGUUUGGGUAGAGACCACAAAAAUGUAGUAGCUAUGCAUGAAGAUUAGCUGAUAGUUUAUCCGUUAAGACUGCUUAUGGAUGUAAGCAAUGAAAAUCUAACUAACAGUAGCUAAGAGAAAUAGAGAUUUAUGUUUUCAUGUAGCAUAGAGUCUGGAGGUUGGCAGCCGACAACUCUGUGAUGCCAUCAGCAACCCUACUUUUCUCCAUUUCUUAAAAUGGAAGAUUCUUAGAGUGUUGCUUUUACCGUGUUGUUUUUCUCAUCAUGCCUCCAUCUGCCAUCAUAUCUCAUCUGCCAUCCAGAUAGGAACAAGGGAAAAGGACUAAGGAGGAAAAAGGCAAGGAGAUAUGUCAGCUGAUUGUCCUUUUCUGUCAGGUUAGCAGUGUCUUCCCCAAAGGCCCCAUCUAGCAGAUUUCUGACUAUGUCUCUAUGGCCAGAACACACCGUGGCACACAUUCAUUCUAAACUGGAAGAUGGUUAGGAAAAAGGAAGGUGUGGGGGUGUGAAACCACCUGCCAAAAGUGUCACAGUUGUGACCAGUUUAUUUCACAGUUUGAGAUGACAUGGUCAUAAAGACCUUUGUCACCUUCAGAAUGCAGCAAAGCAUGAGAGAGUAUUAGAAGGCCGCUGAGAAAGACAAACAAGUUUUAGGAUUACAGAAGUAUUCAACAACCAACCAUUGAAGGUGCAAGAACUGGGCCAUCCCAUGGGUCCACCAGGGCUUUGACAAGGCAGGUGCUGGGGCAGAGCACUCUGGCCAGGAAGCAAAAGAUGAAGGUUCCCAUCUUGGCCCCAGCCUGGAUCUGUGCCCAGUGAUAGUCAUCAGCCUGGAUCUGUGCCCAUUGCAUUGUGUGGACAUACCACGCCAUGUUUCUCCAUCACCUUUUGAGGAAACUUCUGUUGUUUCCACCUUCUAACCGUCAUCAGUAAAGCUGCUGUGAACCUUCGCA
rnacentral:lncRNA from 1 species